rnacentral:rRNA from 1 species
GAGUUUGAUCCUGGCUCAGGAUGAACGCUAGCUACAGGCUUAACACAUGCAAGUCGAGGGGCAGCAUGGUCUUAGCUUGCUAAGACUGAUGGCGACCGGCGCACGGGUGAGUAACACGUAUCCAACCUGCCGUCUACUCUUGGACAGCCUUCUGAAAGGAAGAUUAAUACAAGAUGGCAUCAUGAGUCCGCAUGUUCACAUGAUUAAAGGUAUUCCGGUAGACGAUGGGGAUGCGUUCCAUUAGAUAGUAGGCGGGGUAACGGCCCACCUAGUCUUCGAUGGAUAGGGGUUCUGAGAGGAAGGUCCCCCACAUUGGAACUGAGACACGGUCCAAACUCCUACGGGAGGCAGCAGUGAGGAAUAUUGGUCAAUGGGCGAGAGCCUGAACCAGCCAAGUAGCGUGAAGGAUGACUGCCCUAUGGGUUGUAAACUUCUUUUAUAAAGGAAUAAAGUCGGGUAUGCAUACCCGUUUGCAUGUACUUUAUGAAUAAGGAUCGGCUAACUCCGUGCCAGCAGCCGCGGUAAUACGGAGGAUCCGAGCGUUAUCCGGAUUUAUUGGGUUUAAAGGGAGCGUAGAUGGAUGUUUAGGUCAGUUGUGAAAGUUUGCGGCUCAACCGUAAAAUUGCAGUUGAUACUGGAUAUCUUGAGUGCAGUUGAGGCAGGCGGAAUUCGUGGUGUAGCGGUGAAAUGCUUAGAUAUCACGAAGAACUCCGAUUGCGAAGGCAGCCUGCUAAGCUGCAACUGACAUUGAGGCUCGAAAGUGUGGGUAUCAAACAGGAUUAGAUACCCUGGUAGUCCACACGGUAAACGAUGAAUACUCGCUGUUUGCGAUAUACUGCAAGCGGCCAAGCGAAAGCGUUAAGUAUUCCACCUGGGGAGUACGCCGGCAACGGUGAAACUCAAAGGAAUUGACGGGGGCCCGCACAAGCGGAGGAACAUGUGGUUUAAUUCGAUGAUACGCGAGGAACCUUACCCGGGCUUAAAUUGCAGAUGAAUUACGGUGAAAGCCGUAAGCCGCAAGGCAUCUGUGAAGGUGCUGCAUGGUUGUCGUCAGCUCGUGCCGUGAGGUGUCGGCUUAAGUGCCAUAACGAGCGCAACCCUUGUUGUCAGUUACUAACAGGUCAUGCUGAGGACUCUGACAAGACUGCCAUCGUAAGAUGUGAGGAAGGUGGGGAUGACAUCAAAUCAGCACGGCCCUUACGUCCGGGGCUACACACGUGUUACAAUGGGGGGUACAGAGGGCCGCUACCACGCGAGUGGAUGCCAAUCCCAAAAACCUCUCUCAGUUCGGACUGGAGUCUGCAACCCGACUCCACGAAGCUGGAUUCGCUAGUAAUCGCGCAUCAGCCACGGCGCGGUGAAUACGUUCCCGGGCCUUGUACACACCGCCCGUCAAGCCAUGGGAGCCGGGGAUACCUGAAGUGCGUAACCGCGAGGAGCGCCCUAGGGUAAAACUGGUGACUGGGGCUAAGUCGUAACAAGGUAACCGUA